rnacentral:tRNA from 1 species
UCUUUCGUGAUGUAACGGUAGCACACUCGGCUCGUAUUCGAGAAAUCCAGGUUCGAGACCUAGCGAAGGCA